AGAAUGCACAUAAGUUAUCCUUGAGGUCAUGGGAUAAACAAAACACCCUGUAAAACUAAGUUAGCACAUCCUAAAAUAGUUCUAGCAAGCUUCCUAACCUAUGGCUCUAAUACUAGUUGAUGAGAAAAUCCC
rnacentral:pre_miRNA from 1 species